UCCAGCCUCCAGACAUACUCGAUACAAAAAGGCCAGAAGCUUCUUCUGGCAUUGGCCAUUGGAAGCAGCGGCCAUUAGCUGGCCACCGCCGCCAGCCAAGCGCCGUCGCCCCCCACACGCGAAGACGUAUCUGAUGAAUGAAUCCCCAGGUGAGGGAGCUAUGCAUCACCAAAAUCGAGCCAUUGGAGGUGCUGGAGUAGGGAUAGGGGAGAGAGAGGGAAGUGCAGGUGCGAAGAGUUGGGCUUGGAAGGUCUUUAGUUGAUCAUGAACUCUUCCAUCCUUCCUGGCUUGUGGGUUUUCAGGGAAUUUCUUUGCAAAAGGCCACACCCCUUUGUUUGCAUUUGCAGAUAAAACCUGCCUUUCUAUCUCCUCUUUGGAGCUCAGGUGAUUGCCAGACAUAACGACAGAAGUUGAAGCAGACACUUUGUCCAUCUGAAUAGGUUCAUUCAGAUUGGUCAAACCAUUGCUUCUUACCAAAUGCAAAUCAGAGCUCGACACAUUAUUGUUACAGCCAGAUUUGUCUGUUCCCAACCCCAAACCUCCAUCUGGUUCGUCUUCGUCACUGAGGCAUUCCUCGGCUGGAAGUUCAAGAUUGAACAAUUUUCUUCGAGGCUUCUUCUCUCUGGAAUCCAAAGAUUCAUGGUCCUUCAUCCCUACUCUACUUUGGCUGGGGACACCGCUAUUUUGCAGGGUUUUUCCAAUAGCAUCACAAGGAGAUUGGCUGAUACAAGUACUCAAUGUAGAUCGUCUACCAUAACUGGAAUCCACCAAGGGCAAAUUAGAAAGAUGCCAACUCUUUGUAUAGCCUCCAGUUGGAAAGCCGGAUGAUGAGAAAGUUGAUUGUGAUACCCCUGUUG